rnacentral:rRNA from 1 species
GACGAACGCUGGCGGCGUGCUUAACACAUGCAAGUCGAACGAUGACGACCGAUCUUGCUCGGUCUGAUUAGUGGCGAACGCGUGUGUAUCACGUGAGCAACCUGCCCUUCACUCUGGGGUAACAUCGGGAAAUAGGGGCUCAUACCCGAUAUGAGCUCCUGUCGCAUGGCGGGUGUUGGAAAGUGGUUCGGUGAAGGCUGGCAUCGCGGUCUAUCAGUUUGUUGGUGAGGUAGUGGUUCACCAAGGCGAUGACGGGUAGCCGGCCUGGGAGUGCGACCGGCCACACUGGGACUGAGACACGGCCCAGACGGCAACGGGAGGCAGCAGUGGGGAAUAUUGCACAAUGGGCGAAAGGCGGAUGCAGCGACGCCGGGUGGGGGAUGACGGCCUUCGGGUUGUAAACCUCUUUCAGCAGGGAAGAAGCGAAAGUGACGGUACCUGCAGAAGAAGCGACGGCUAACUACGUG